rnacentral:lncRNA from 1 species
GCCCUUAAAACUCAUGUAAUUAAAAUCGGCAGUUUAUUAUUACCUAGAGUAAAUGCCACUAAACAAAAUAAGAUUUAGCUACCAAAUCUAAUAUAAGACAAACCCCAAAUAAAUCGACAAUCAUAAAGAAAUUAAACAAAUGAUAAGAGAAAAGACAAAUAAAAGACGUCAUAGGCGUCUCCAAGCGUUUCGCCUGUUUUCUUGCGAUCCGAUGUAUUUUACGAACGACAUGUACUGUGAUGGCUCUAUGCACGGGAUAUGGUGGGAGUUUUGCAUUAAGACUCAUAUUGCUCCAAGUGCAUAUGGAAAACAAAGAAAGAGAAAACAAGAAUUAGAAAAGAGAAAAUCUUAGACAAGUACUAUGACGAAACGAGAAAGGAAGAACAAUGGCACGAAUUAAACUACUAACUUGCAUUAAAUCAUAAGCUCACAACGGGAUAAGGAAUCCAUUACUUUCAACAAAAAUACACUAACAGAAGGACUUUGUAUAUUUUACACUAACUAACUGGAUGAAAACAAAGCAACAAAACUACAUAAAUAUACUCAAAAGAAAACUGAUACAUAAAUUCUGAAUUUCACUACUAGUGUCUUGACAAAAAGAACACAUGUAUCAAAAAAGUUCUAAUAAAGUCGUGAUAAGUUCAAGAUUUAUUUUCAUCAAGUAGUGAGUCUAAAUUUAAACUCUUAUAAGCAGGGGUUCUAAAUGUGAGCAAAUAAUUUCUCUAAACCUAUAAAUAAUAUCUCUAAGUUUCAAGCAAAUCUAAAGUCCAUCUUUCUACUGCUGGAAGCAACUAAGAGAAGACAUUAAUACUUCAACAUGAAAUAGACUUAUAGUUCAUGAAAAAUGCAGGAACUUCUUCUUCUUCUUUUUUUAAUUUAAAAUGAGUAUAAGCCAAAAUGAAUAAACAAACCCCAAUAGUCAUGCUGUCUAUAGUAUAAAAGACACUAGGUAAAUUAAAUCUUCAUAUAACACAAUACAUAUAACUGGAUCUACUUCAAAAGAUGUGUCCUAAAUCUACACAAAAUGUCUCAACAAAAGGUCUAGUAUCAUGGUCUUUGACAUUAGUUCUAUUAAGAGGAAACCUUUUUAAAAUUUCCUACUGAGUACAACAUCAUUUAAACUGAACAUGUAGAUAAUUAAUUCGUCAGUGCUUAUUCGACAUCGUAUUUUCCUGUUUGACUAACAUAAGCUAGAGUGCGCAAUCCCAAAUGAUUCUAUACACAAAUGAGCCUUAAGACACACUUUAUGCAUAGAAAACAAACUGUAACUCACAUUUCAAAUAUUUAUUUUGGAUAUAAGAAAAAAGAUAAAAUAAGGAGAGGAAUUUCAAAGUUACGGACCUUUUGCAGGGCAGCGAACCAAGGCGGGGUCUUGGAUGCACUAUUGAACUCCAACCUCGAACUCGCUACCUUAGACGAUCGUGAAUCGUUUGGAGUAAAAAUGGGCGGCUGAACCAUAAGGUUUUUGGGUGGUAAAGGCGCGGCUCUAAAAAUAAGGUUAAAGGAGGGGGCUGAAACCUGUGGGUUUAAAGAGAGGUGCAACCGCUCCAAAAGCUCUCUCUUUUCAAUAUAUUUCAAAUGCAAGUAUUUAUAAGUGAAGAAGUAGAGUUCAUGGGCGGGAUUUUUACCUCUAACGUUUGAAAUUAAGAGUGUGGGGUUUCGAACAGUAAAAUAGUCGUUCAUCAUUUAAUGAGCGAGAUUUGAGCAGAUUUGUUUCAGAUUUGCUUGAGACUUUGAGCAGAUUUGUUUCAAAUUAUACCCAAAAUGGUUGGGAUGUUGUGCAGCAAGAAAAAGAAAAAAUGGAGAAACUCCAUGUGAGCAAAGAGAGAGAAAAGAUCCCAAUUUAGACUUCUUGGCACUGGAUGUGAGGCGAGAAUUCAUUGUAAUUAAAUGAAAAUUUGAAAUCCAAAAGAGAGAUACUUUAGUGAUUUUGAAUUUCAAAAAAAAAUUGAAACGGUAGUGCUACCAUUCUACCGAAGCUUCACCAAAUGGUGUGACAUAAUAUCUGCCAUAGAAAUUCAAAGUAGGCAAUAUAUUAUGUUAAUUGAAAAGACGGCAAUGUGAUUUGGAAAGUCAAAAAGUUUUUGUAACGAAA